CGUGGUGCCAGCAGCCGCGGUAAUUCCAGCUCCAAUAGCGUAUAUUUAAGUUGUUGCAGUUAAAAGCUCGUAGUUGAAUUUCGGGAUCAAUGCGUCGGUCGUGCUUUCGGGUACGUACUGGUGUCAUUGGUUUCUCCUUUCUGACGAGCCGUGAUGUCAUUAAUUUGGUGUUACGGGUAGUUAGGACUGUACUUUGAAAAAAUUAGAGUGUUAAAGCAGGCAUUAGCUUGAAUACAUUAGCAUGGAAUAAUGAAAUAGGACGUUCGAUCCUAUUUUGUUGGUUUCUAGGAUCAACGUAAUGAUUAAUAGGGAUAGUUGGGGGCAUUAGUAUUCAAUUGUCAGAGGUGAAAUUCUUGGAUUUAUUGAAGACUAACUACUGCGAAAGCAUUUGCCAAGGAUGUUUUCAUUAAUCAAGAACGAAAGUUAGGGGGAUCGAAGACGAUCAGAUACCGUCAUAGUCUUAACCAUAAACUAUGCCGACUAGGGAUCGGAUGAUGUUAAUUUUUUUAAUGACUCAUUCGGCGCCUUACG
rnacentral:rRNA from 1 species